UCUAGCCGCUAUAUCACCCUGCAACUCACAGCUGGCAGCCCACUGAAGCUCAGCAGGUGUGAGCCUGGUCAGUACCUGGAUGGGAGACCUCCUGGGAAAAACUAAGGUUACUGCUAGAC
rnacentral:rRNA from 1 species